ensembl:snoRNA
UGAGACAGCCUCUGAUGAAGCCUAUGUUGGGAGGCACAUCUGAGAGUGUUGAUGAAUGCCAACCACUUUGAUGGAAAUAA